UACGGAGGGGGCUAGCGUUGUUCGGAAUUACUGGGCGUAAAGCGCACGUAGGCGGCUUUGUAAGUUAGAGGUGAAAGCCCGGGGCUCAACUCCGGAAUUGCCUUUAAGACUGCAUCGCUAGAAUUGUGGAGAGGUAAGUGGAAUUCCGAGUGUAGAGGUGAAAUUCGUAGAUAUUCGGAAGAACACCAGUGGCGAAGGCGACUUACUGGACACAUAUUGACGCUGAGGUGCG
rnacentral:rRNA from 1 species